UUACGGUCAUAUCACGUUGUAACAGCGGUUUUCGUACGAUCACCGAAGUUAAGCAACGUCGAGGUUGGUCAGUUACCUAAAUGAGUGACCUCUUGGAAAUACCGGGUUUUGCAAG